CACGUAGGGACCAAGCGUUGUCCGGAUUUAUUGGGCGUAAAGAGCUCGUAGGCGGCUUGGUAAGUCGGGUGUGAAACCUCCAGGCUCAACCUGGUGACGCCACCCGAUACUGCUAUGCUUGAGUUCGGUAGGGAGCGGGGAAUUCCUGGUGUAGCGGUGAAAUGCGCAGAUAUCAGGAGGAACACCGGUGGCGAAGGCGCCGCUCUGGGCCGAAACUGACGCUGAGGAGCGAAAGCGUGGGGAGCAAACAGG
rnacentral:rRNA from 1 species